UGGGAUGUAGCUCAGUGGUAGAGUGCUCAUCUGACAUGCAAGAGGCCCUGGGUUCGAUCCUCCGCACCACAU
rnacentral:tRNA from 1 species